rnacentral:miRNA from 1 species
UUGAGUAUAUACUUGGAAGAAAUGAGAGCAGGGUCAUGAAUGGACAUUGCACACUGGUGUUUAUGAUGUUGUUAUUCAUGAUUCACAAUGGAU